rnacentral:lncRNA from 1 species
CACGAGAUGGUCCGAGGGGAAGCUUACUGUCGCCGGAAUUGAAGAAGUUCCGUCGGUGGCCGAAGACGAAGACGAGGAGCUAGGCGUCGCCGUAGUCGAUCUCGGCGGAAUUCGUCGCGGUCCAAGGAAGUAGUAGUCGUCGGCGAACGCGUGACGCGGUCAGCUGGAGAUGAAGACGAUGGAGUCGGCGGCGCGACGCGGCGGCGCCCACGGCUCGGAAAGAAAGGAGACAGCGCCGCGCAAAAAAGCGGGGAGGAGGACCCGUCUAGGGUUUCUCCUUGAGCUAGGGUUGAGAGGAGGGUGCGGCUGCGCUUAAAAUAGGUGCGGGGAGCUCCCUGUCGCUGUCGACGUCGACGUGGUGCGCGGGGCUCCACCGGGCAGGAGGAAGAAAGUAGAGGAGGAAGAAGCCCCUGUGUGAGAUGGCGCACUUUGGGAGUUUACGUCUUCACGGCUGGGAGGCGCAACGAGGGCGCGCGCGGGAGAAGAUGGGCCGCGGGGGGUGCGGGCGCGCGUUUGCUGGGCCGAGUUGGCUGGGCCGACUCGGGCCGAAAGGGAAGGGAAGUUUUUCUUUUCUUUUUCCUUUUUCCUUUUUCUGUUUUCUCUUUUGCAAAAUAGUUUUCUUGAUUCAAAUUUCAAAUACCAUUUUUGUAACAUCCCAGAAUUUUCCCAUUUUGGAAUGUUAAAUAAAAUAAUUAUUUUAAAUAAAAUACUGGCUUUGGAAAUAUUUUGGUUGUGAAUUUCUGAAGGAUUUCAAAUUUUUAGGACUUAUUUAAAUUUUUCCACACCAUGUUUGAAUAUUCAACAAAAGAGUGGAUUAAUAUGAGUAUCCAAAUUAUACAACAUUGUUGGGAGAUUUAUAUAAGUCCAAAGUAUUUUAUUUGGACCCAUUUGCAUCUUAUCGGUUUACAUGGAUUAUUCUUUAAUCUUAGUAAAUCCUAUUUUCUUUUUGAAGGAUUUAUUAACAUCCCAAGUUUCCAAAUUUGGAUGCAAUGAGCAUUUGAGAGCAUCGUUGGAAUAUUUGAAUCCAAUUAGAAAUGUUUUCCAUCAUUUAUUUAAAUGUUAAAGAAAGGAAAUAAUAUGACUUUCCCAAGUAUAUGGUUGGAAAACAUAUUUAACGAUUCAUCUAUGUUUUUCUCGAUAUUUAUUUUGUCGUGUCCAUUUUGUUUUCGAGAGGAAACUAUCAAAUAUUCGAGAAGAGAAUAACGUGACAUCCUCGUGUGCAAAUGUUAUUUCAAAAGUAUUUUUAAUUAUUUUAUUUUGAAAGGAUUCAAGUCACAAAAGCUCACACUUUGGAGGAUUUGAAUUUAGAAAUUUUCUGAAGUUUAUUUGAACUUAUUUGGAGUUAGGAAUCAAAAGUUAUUAAUAAAAACAGAAAAUGAAAAAAAAAGGAAAAAAAAAGAGAACGGACCGACCCAAACUGGGCCGGCCCAUCUCCACCGAGCGCCCCAGCCAGGGCUUGUCUUCCUCCUCUGCACGCAAAGGAAACCCCUCCUUCCAUAUUUUUUCCUUCGGAUUUCUUUUCUUCCCGGGCGUCUCUCUCCGAAAGAAAACCACCCCAUCAAUCCACACCAUCCCAGGAACCAAUUCAGGCAAUCAAUUUGAAUUUUCCUCUCAUAAUCGCCGUUUCCAAAAGAGGCGCCCCGAAUGCCGCCCGUCGACAUCCACUCCCGAUCUCCCUCCUCGGCCAGUAUAAAAGGAUUCCACGUGUGACAUUUUGAGCCUUUGCCUCUUCUCUCCCAUUCCCAUG